rnacentral:lncRNA from 1 species
AUUUUGUUGAAGCAGCAGGAACUUUUGACAGUUAAAAAAAGAAAGCAACAGGAUCAAUUAACAGAACGGGAUAAGUUUCAGAUUUCUCUUCAGCAGAAUGAUGAAAAGCAACAGGGAGCUUUUAUAAGUACUGAGGAAACUGAAUUGGAACACACCAGCACUGUGGUGGAGGUCUGUGAGGCAAUUGCGUCAGUUCAGGCAGAAGCAAAUACAGUUUGGACUGAGGCAUCACAAUCUGCAGAAAUCUCUGAAGAACCUGCGGAAUGGUCAAGCAACUAUUUCUACCCUACUUAUGAUGAAAAUGAAGAAGAAAAUAGGCCCCUCAUGCUAUGGUAUCAGAAGAUAAAGUAAAUAUGCAAAAUUGAAGAAUGCUU